AUGGACAAGGACCAAGGGAAAACAGGAGGGGUCAAAGGCUAUUUUCCAAAGAGCCCUCUUUAUGUCAUGGGUUGCACCACACUGCUGUGCCUCAGCUUUGGCUACAUUUGGAAUAUGUCCAAUGGUCCCUGCCUGGACACACCAAUCAAGAUCUUCAACACAGUAAACAGUAAUACCCAGGACUUCCACAAUAUAAAGCAAUCAAGGUGGGACCUUUUGUUAAUUACACUUACUGUCUGUUUCAUGAUCACUAACUUGAUAGGCCUUUACUCAUAUGAUAAUUCCCAUUUACUUCAGUGGGACUACUUGUGUGAAUAAUGAGUAUUCAUGUAUAGGUUUGCAGGUCUGUCUUCCUUGGACUUGUAUUACUUUUAAACCAGUUAUGCUCUAACAAUGUUGUACUUUUGGUAAACUUCCAAUGGUUUCUUUCUAUUAAAAAACAAACAUGAUAUAUGAUCACAAUGACAUUCAAGAUGCAAAGAUAUUAAGACAGAACUUUUUCUUGAAUAUUUAGAUGCUGGGAAACAUGAAUUAAUUCAAUGAUUUCUUGGACUAGUUACUUUCUAUUGAAUGUUGUCUUUCUGUAAGCCAAAUUUCCAUUGUUCUUUCUCUAUAGCAACCAUAGCCUGGAAGAUUUACUACAAAUUGAAUUAUCAAGGUAGAACUUUCCAUUAGUUUCUGUUAAGUGUUUCAGCUGCUUUCAGAAGAGCUCUGGUAUUCCUGAAGGAUGGUAAUCUAUGCUUGUUGAACUUCAGUACUCUGUCUUAGCAUUGCAUUUCUGUAUUAUGAAUCGUCAAUACAGGAUAAUGACACUGAGAUUUAGACAAGCUCAGAUGUUACCUAUCUUUGAAAGCUCUCAGCAGUGAUCUCAUGGAUUCCCCUCCUCUCUAAGGAUGUUCACAUUGCUUGGGUUACACCAGUCUGUACCUCAAUUCUGACCUCCAGGAAGUUCUACUGUUCAGGUUCUGACCCCACACACUGCUCUGUCAAUGUUCCACAUUCCCUACCUGCAAAACUUUUCUACUCCUGCCCUGUGUGCUCACACCACUUUGCUAAUGCAUCUCAUUCCUGACUUUUAAUGUCUCCCUCUGGGCAUCUCAUAAGCAUAGAUUGUCAAUCAAGCCACACUGUGGGGGGGAAGUGGGGCAAUUUGCCCCCGGGCCCUGCAGGGGCCCCCACAAGAAUAUAGUAUUCUGUAGUAUUGCAACUUUUUUUAUGGAAGGGGCCCCCAAAAUUGCUUUGCCCCAGGCCCCCUGAAUCCUCUGGGUGGCCCUGCACUGUAUAGAGGUUUUGUGAUGUGAACCAAUAUUAGGGACUA
rnacentral:lncRNA from 1 species